ensembl:snRNA U6 U6 spliceosomal RNA
UUGCUUAUGCAGCAUAUAUACUAAAAUAUUGGAAUGAUACAGUGAAGAUUAGCAUGGCCUCUAUGCAUGAAAGACAUACAAAUUCAUGAAAUGUACCAUAUUAAA